ACUUUUAUAAUUAUUAUUCGUUAAUCUUAAUUUUUCAUACUUCCUCAGGGCUUGAGUUUACUUUCUGGCCAUAUGAGUUUCUGGAAGACCAAUCCACAAAAUUAAUUGGGCUCGGAUAUAUGUUGCAAUAGUUUACUUUUGGGCUGGAAAAUAUGUUAAAUGACAUGUCAUAUUGAUUGGUCCUGAAUAUUUUAGGUGAAGUGGUCACUCU
rnacentral:lncRNA from 1 species